AUUGAACGCUGGCGGCAGGCUUAACACAUGCAAGUCGAACGAGUGGCGGACGGGUGAGUAAUGUCUGGGAAACUGCCUGAUGGAGGGGGAUAACUACUGGAAACGGUAGCUAAUACCGCAUACCAUCAGAUGUGCCCAGAUGGGAUUAGCUCGUGGGUGGGGUAAUGGCUCACCAAGGCGACGAUCCCUAGCUGGUCUGAGAGGAUGACCAGCAAAACUGGAACUGAGAAACGGUCCAGACUCCUACGGGAGGAAGCAGUGGGGAAUAUUGCACAAUGGGCGCAAGCCUGAUGCAGCCAUGCCGCGUGUGUGAAGAAGGCCUUCGGGUUGUAAAGUACUUUCAGCGGGGAGGCGUUACUCGCAGAAGAAGCACCGGCUAACUCCGUGCCAGCAGCCGCGGUAAUUC
rnacentral:rRNA from 1 species